CUUUAUUGUCAUAUAUAUAUAUAAACCACAAAUCGAUCGUUUUUAGCGCAAGUGACAAAAUAUUUGAUAGUUGGUAUGACAAAGGAUUUGAUAGUUGGUAUUGGAGGUUUCAAAUUCGUUGUUUUAUAUUUUUAAUUAAAUUUAUUUUUUUAAAAAAAUAAAUAAAACGGAUAGUAUGUUACCUUUUAUAUUUUCAGCUAACUUUAUUUUUUUUUAAAAAUAAACAGAAAACAUGCUGUCUUUCCUAAAAAAGAACCACAAAAGGUAUAUUUUAAAUUAGUUAUAUUGUACCAAACAUCAUAGGAAAGAAAUUUGUUAGAAAUAUAAUAAUAAUUGUAUAUUAAAGUGAUGUUUUAAAAGAGUUUUUGCCAGAUUUUUAUUGAAGAAUACUGUUAUAUUUACAAUAAAUCUUAUAACGUUUUGCAAAUUUGCUUAUAUGGUCGUAUUUAUUUGAUAAAAGAAUAUCAAUUAUGAGAGGAUAGUUAUAAUACACCAGGUAAAGAAUAAAAUACUAAUCACUAAAUUUUAAAUUUUAUAAAAUUAUUUAUAAAAAAAAUAUACUUUUUAUGUAAUGUGAAUGCAUUUAAUUCUAUGUUAUAAACCUUUUUUUUUCUUUUUUUUUUUAAGAGAGAUAGAUAGCACGUUAUUAACUUCGUUUUAUUUUAUUUAAUAAUAAAUUUAACUGAAAAUAUGAAUUAACUAGAAUUCAAAUUUGAAUUUUGAAUACCAACUAUGAAAUUCUUUGCCAUUUGCUCUAGAAACGAACAGCAUUCUAUGUUAUAAACCUUAAUUG
rnacentral:lncRNA from 1 species